rnacentral:rRNA from 1 species
UACCUAUAAGACUGGGAUAACUUCGGGAAACCGGAGCUAAUACCGGAUAAUAUAUUGAACCGCAUGGUUCAAUAGUGAAAGACGGUUUUGCUGUCACUUAUAGAUGGAUCCGCGCCGCAUUAGCUAGUUGGUAAGGUAACGGCUUACCAAGGCAACGAUGCGUAGCCGACCUGAGAGGGUGAUCGGCCACACUGGAACUGAGACACGGUCCAGACUCCUACGGGAGGCAGCAGUAGGGAAUCUUCCGCAAUGGGCGAAAGCCUGACGGAGCAACGCCGCGUGAGUGAUGAAGGUCUUCGGAUCGUAAAACUCUGUUAUUAGGGAAGAACAAAUGUGUAAGUAACUAUGCACGUCUUGACGGUACCUAAUCAGAAAGCCACGGCUAACUACGUGCCAGCAGCCGCGGUAAUACGUAGGUGGCAAGCGUUAUCCGGAAUUAUUGGGCGUAAAGCGCGCGUAGGCGGUUUUUUAAGUCUGAUGUGAAAGCCCACGGCUCAACCGUGGAGGGUCAUUGGAAACUGGAAAACUUGAGUGCAGAAGAGGAAAGUGGAAUUCCAUGUGUAGCGGUGAAAUGCGCAGAGAUAUGGAGGAACACCAGUGGCGAAGGCGACUUUCUGGUCUGUAACUGACGC